GAAAGCCGUAUGAGGGAAAACCUCACGUACGGUUUGAUGAGGAGGGGCUGGGUUGCACCAGCCCUUUACUCUGAAAUUAUGCAAUGCAAAAAAAUGUGGAUAACUCCGAU
rnacentral:ncRNA from 1 species